AACGAACGCUGGCGGCAGGCCUAACACAUGCAAGUCGAACGCUGUAGCAAUACAGAGUGGCGCACGGGUGCGUAACGCGUGGGAAUAUACCCUUGGGUGCGGAACAACGUCGGGAAACUGACGCUAAUACCGCAUAAUGUCUCCGGACCAAAGAUUUAUCGCCUAAGGAUUAGCCCGCGUUAGAUUAGCUAGUUGGUGAGGUAAAGGCUCACCAAGGCUACGAUCCAUAGCUGGUCUGAGAGGAUGAUCAGCCACACUGGGACUGAGACACGGCCCAGACUCCUACGGGAGGCAGCAGUGAGGAAUAUUGGACAAUGGGGGCAACCCUGUUCCAGCCAUGCCGCGUGAGUGAUGAAGGCCUUCGGGUUGUAAAGCUCUUUUAGAUGUGACGAUGAUGACGGUAACAUCAGAAAAAGCCCCGGCUAACUUCGUGCCAGCAGCCGCCGUAA
rnacentral:rRNA from 1 species